CGGUUUCACAGAUAAGUAAACCAGAAAAAGCUGAAGAACCCAAAGAAAUGUUAAACGUAGAUUAAUAGUUAUUCGGAGUACAAGAUCCGGACAAGAAAGAUUCUGCCACUGAGGAAGAUAAACUUGAGGUAUCGUGGGGAAAACCAAAGGGGAACUGGCUGGAAUUCCUAAAAGCCAAAAUGUGGGAUUUUGCCGUAGCGAGGAACUGAGGCUCCUGCUGGCCAUGCACCAGCUCACGAGCCAUGGCAGCAACCUUACAGCACUGGCCAGGCCACCAGGUGACCACAGCCUCAGCAGACACGUCGGAGGGUCCCACGCUCCUAAAUCCCUGGCUCAGAAUUCUGCUGCUGAGAAUCCCUGACUCACGGAACUUUGUGUCCAUCACCGUUUUAAGCCACAAGUGUUACCCAUUUCCAAUAAUAUGACUCUUCUAUGUUAUUGAACGUGUAUUAAAAAUUUAUUAAAUAUUUUUAUCCAUUGGGAUCAUAAGUGCAGAGUGUUUUCCAGGGAGUCUAUUAAGUGACAGUUUGAUUUCUCGGUUUAGAUAGAGUUUGAACCAAGAGAAGGGUGAUAACCCCUGAAACACGUAACCUCAAGGUUAUGCAUAGUUCAGCCCUCGGUCCCUCUGGGUGUAUUAUCCACAGAGUGGAAAAAUAUUUUCAGAAUUCAGAAAAACAUUAACGUCAAAACAAAGUAACAAAGGAAUUUCAUGUGAGAUUGGUUUUCAGGACGUUUUGAACUCUUGCGGGGCAGGGGCUGAUCAUUCUAGGGAUGAAGUCCAGGGCCUUCCCACUGAGCUAUACCUCCUGCCCCUUUUCAUUUUUCACUUUGAGAUAGGACAAUGCUAAAUCACUAAAUUGUCCGGGCUGGGCUUGAAUUUGCGAUUCUUUUCCUCGGUCUCUCAGGCUGCUGCGAUUACAGAGGUGCCACCACACCCAACUUGUUUUGAACAAUCAGCUGA